UUAAGCGACUAAGCGUACACGGUGGAUGCCCUGGCAGUCAGAGGCGAUGAAGGACGUGCUAAUCUGCGAUAAGCGUCGGUAAGGUGAUAUGAACCGUUAUAACCGGCGAUUUCCGAAUGGGGAAACCCAGUGUGAUUCGUCACACUAUCAUUAACUGAAUCCAUAGGUUAAUGAGGCGAACCGGGGGAACUGAAACAUCUAAGUACCCCGAGGAAAAGAAAUCAACCGAGAUUCCCCCAGUAGCGGCGAGCGAACGGGGAGCAGCCCAGAGCCUGAAUCAGUGUGUGUGUUAGUGGAAGCGUCUGGAAAGGCGUGCGAUACAGGGUGACAGCCCCGUACACAAAAAUGCACAUACUGUGAGCUCGAUGAGUAGGGCGGGACACGUGGUAUCCUGUCUGAAUAUGGGGGGACCAUCCUCCAAGGCUAAAUACUCCUGACUGACCGAUAGUGAACCAGUACCGUGAGGGAAAGGCGAAAAGAACCCCGGCGAGGGGAGUGAAAAAGAACCUGAAACCGUGUACGUACAAGCAGUGGGAGCACGCUUAGGCGUGUGACUGCGUACCUUUUGUAUAAUGGGUCAGCGACUUAUAUUCUGUAGCAAGGUUAACCGGAUAGGGGAGCCGAAGGGAAACCGAGUCUUAACUGGGCGUUAAGUUGCAGGGUAUAGACCCGAAACCCGGUGAUCUAGCCAUGGGCAGGUUGAAGGUUGGGUAACACUAACUGGAGGACCGAACCGACUAAUGUUGAAAAAUUAGCGGAUGACUUGUGGCUGGGGGUGAAAGGCCAAUCAAACCGGGAGAUAGCUGGUUCUCCCCGAAAGCUAUUUAGGUAGCGCCUCGUGAAUUCAUCUCCGGGGGUAGAGCACUGUUUCGGCAAGGGGGUCAUCCCGACUUACCAACCCGAUGCAAACUGCGAAUACCGGAGAAUGUUAUCACGGGAGACACACGGCGGGUGCUAACGUCCGUCGUGAAGAGGGAAACAACCCAGACCGCCAGCUAAGGUCCCAAAGUCAUGGUUAAGUGGGAAACGAUGUGGGAAGGCCCAGACAGCCAGGAUGUUGGCUUAGAAGCAGCCAUCAUUUAAAGAAAGCGUAAUAGCUCACUGGUCGAGUCGGCCUGCGCGGAAGAUGUAACGGGGCUAAACCAUGCACCGAAGCUGCGGCAGCGACGCUUAUGCGUUGUUGGGUAGGGGAGCGUUCUGUAAGCCUGUGAAGGUGUGCUGUGAGGUAUGCUGGAGGUAUCAGAAGUGCGAAUGCUGACAUAAGUAACGAUAAAGCGGGUGAAAAGCCCGCUCGCCGGAAGACCAAGGGUUCCUGUCCAACGUUAAUCGGGGCAGGGUGAGUCGACCCCUAAGGCGAGGCCGAAAGGCGUAGUCGAUGGGAAACAGGUUAAUAUUCCUGUACUUGGUGUUACUGCGAAGGGGGGACGGAGAAGGCUAUGUUGGCCGGGCGACGGUUGUCCCGGUUUAAGCGUGUAGGCUGGUUUUCCAGGCAAAUCCGGAAAAUCAAGGCCGAGGCGUGAUGACGAGGCACUACGGUGCUGAAGCAACAAAUGCCCUGCUUCCAGGAAAAGCCUCUAAGCAUCAGGUAACAUCAAAUCGUACCCCAAACCGACACAGGUGGUCAGGUAGAGAAUACCAAGGCGCUUGAGAGAACUCGGGUGAAGGAACUAGGCAAAAUGGUGCCGUAACUUCGGGAGAAGGCACGCUGAUACGUAGGUGAAGCGACUUGCUCGUGGAGCUGAAAUCAGUCGAAGAUACCAGCUGGCUGCAACUGUUUAUUAAAAACACAGCACUGUGCAAACACGAAAGUGGACGUAUACGGUGUGACGCCUGCCCGGUGCCGGAAGGUUAAUUGAUGGGGUUAGCGCAAGCGAAGCUCUUGAUCGAAGCCCCGGUAAACGGCGGCCGUAACUAUAACGGUCCUAAGGUAGCGAAAUUCCUUGUCGGGUAAGUUCCGACCUGCACGAAUGGCGUAAUGAUGGCCAGGCUGUCUCCACCCGAGACUCAGUGAAAUUGAACUCGCUGUGAAGAUGCAGUGUACCCGCGGCAAGACGGAAAGACCCCGUGAACCUUUACUAUAGCUUGACACUGAACAUUGAGCCUUGAUGUGUAGGAUAGGUGGGAGGCUUUGAAGUGUGGACGCCAGUCUGCAUGGAGCCGACCUUGAAAUACCACCCUUUAAUGUUUGAUGUUCUAACGUGGACCCGUGAUCCGGGUUGCGGACAGUGUCUGGUGGGUAGUUUGACUGGGGCGGUCUCCUCCUAAAGAGUAACGGAGGAGCACGAAGGUUGGCUAAUCCUGGUCGGACAUCAGGAGGUUAGUGCAAUGGCAUAAGCCAGCUUGACUGCGAGCGUGACGGCGCGAGCAGGUGCGAAAGCAGGUCAUAGUGAUCCGGUGGUUCUGAAUGGAAGGGCCAUCGCUCAACGGAUAAAAGGUACUCCGGGGAUAACAGGCUGAUACCGCCCAAGAGUUCAUAUCGACGGCGGUGUUUGGCACCUCGAUGUCGGCUCAUCACAUCCUGGGGCUGAAGUAGGUCCCAAGGGUAUGGCUGUUCGCCAUUUAAAGUGGUACGCGAGCUGGGUUUAGAACGUCGUGAGACAGUUCGGUCCCUAUCUGCCGUGGGCGCUGGAGAACUGAGGGGGGCUGCUCCUAGUACGAGAGGACCGGAGUGGACGCAUCACUGGUGUUCGGGUUGUCAUGCCAAUGGCACUGCCCGGUAGCUAAAUGCGGAAGAGAUAAGUGCUGAAAGCAUCUAAGCACGAAACUUGCCCCGAGAUGAGUUCUCCCUGACCCUUUAAGGGUCCUGAAGGAACGUUGAAGACGACGACGUUGAUAGGCCGGGUGUGUAAGCGCAGCGAUGCGUUGAGCUAACCGGUACUAAUGAACCGUGAGGCUUAACCUU
rnacentral:rRNA from 1 species